rnacentral:Y_RNA from 1 species
GGCUGGUCCGAUUACAGUGGGUUAUCAGAACUUAUUAACAUUAGUGUCACUAAAGUUGGUAUACCACCACCACCACUGCUAAAUUUGACUGGCUUCAA